CAUGCUCAGCACACAAUGCCCCACACCCUGGAGUUCAAGCCUCAUCAGAAAAGCCAAAAGGUGGGGUUGGGGAUUUAGCUCAGUGGUAGAGCCCUGGUGUAAGGCCCUGGGUUCAGUCCCCAGCUCCGAAAAAAAGAAAAAAAAAAAAAAGCCAAAAGAUGCUGUCUCUAACAGUCACUUUUUCAUGUGUAUGACAAAAUACAAACUACUUAAGGAAUCGUGUGUGUGUGUGUGUGUGUGUCUGUCUGUCUGUCUGUCUGUAUAUCUGUGUGACAGUGUGUGUCUGUGUGUCUAUGUGUGUCUGUCUGUCUAUGUGUGUCUGUCUAUGUGUGUGUGUGUGUGUGUGUGUGUGUGCCUGUGUGUCUGUCUAUGUGUGUGUGUGUGCCUGUGGGGGUGGGGUGGGGGGUGUGUGUAUGUGUAAUCCAGGCAAGAGUUUGAAACCACAUUGUACGCGCAGUCAGGAAGCAGGCAGGCAAUUGCUGAUGCUUCACCCACUUUCUCUUAUUUGGGGGAGUGGGGGCGGGUGGAAACAUUUCUCUCUGUAGCCCUGGCUGUCCUGGAACUUGCUCUGUAGAGCAGGCUAACCUCAAACUCAGGGAUAGACCUGCCCCUGCCUCCUGAGUGCUAGGACUAAAGGCAUGGACCACCACACACAGACACUUUCGACUUUUUAAUUCAUCCAGGACUCCAGCACGUGGGAUACUGCCACCCACACUAGGGGUGGGAGGGAUCUUGUCACCCCAGCUAACACAGUCUAGACCUACUGCUCUCACCCUGUGGGUCUAGACCCCUUGGGGGGCUGGGUGUCAAACAACCUUUUCACAGGGGUCACAUAUCAGAUAUUUACAAUCUGUAACAGUAGCAAAAUUACCUAACAACAAAAGGUCAUGGUUGGGGUCACCACAACAUGAGGAACUGUAUUAAAGGGUCGCAGCAUCAGGAAGGUUGAGAACUGCAGCUCUAGGCCAACCAUCUUAUGCUCCUGGGACUUGUCUUUCAGGUGACUCUAGAUCCUGUCUGAUUGACAGUAUUGACCAUCUGACCAUCACACCUUAAGAUGCCAAGGACCAGUUACAGAUGGGUCACCUGUCGUGGAAAUGCAGAACCAAGCUUGUCUCUAGUUUAAUGAAGCCAGGAUGAACCAGGGGGAGGAAUGAGGGCUGGAAGGAUGGGAUGUGUGCUUCAAGAGUAUAUAAGUAAGGGAGGCAUUUUAGAAUUGGGUUUUGAAGAAUGAGUAGGAGUCCCUUAGGCAGCACAGAAAUUCAUGGAUAAACCCGUAGCUAUAAAACCCAGGAUGGGGCAGAGACUCAAUGGGGGUCGGGGGUUUGUGUUCACUGUAGGAAGAGAUAAGGCUUUUCUGGAAAGGGCAGGUGAUAUAAUCGGGAACCUGGGCAUCAGAGAACAGUUUGGUGGCUUGUGUACCGUUAAAGAAUAAAGGAAGUAAGAGUGGGGGUUGGGGAUUUAGCUCAGUGGUAGAGCACUUGCCUCGCAAGCGCAAGGCCCUGCGUUCGGUCCCCAGCUCCGAAAAAAAAAAAAAAACAAAACCGCUAAAAGGAAGUAAGAGUGUUUAUUUUUGCAGCGACACAAAGUUGCUAUGAGGCGAUCAAUACAUGAAUUUUGCAUAAUGAACUCCUCCUAUUUAGUCUUCGAAACGCAGACUUGUGUCAUGGCGGUGGAGGCAGCAGUAGUUCAAGGCCAGCCUUGGCUAUAAGUGAACAAGUCUCAAACAGCUGAGGUUAGACCGGUGUACAUGUACUUGCCUGAGCAGCUUCGCUGACACAGGAUAGGUCACGCCAAGGUCAAGUCCGAGCAGCAGCACCCGCCCAUUCCCAGAAAGCUUUGUGGGAGAGGCAGGUCAACCGGAAGCAACGACCCACGAUUGGCCAGCUCGGCUCAGUGGGCGGGACGCCGCGGGGGAGGCCCGCGAGACUGAUGUGCACUUGCCCAUUGGUUUGCUGAGAGCAGGAAAAGGGCGUGUAAAACGAAACAAGACUUCCGUGUUCGGCUUGAGCGGCGUGCUGCAACGCUUGAGGACAAUUGGUCAUUUCCUUCAAGAGGCGGAGCUUUGGAAUUUUCGAUUGGGCCGUUCUGAAUAGGGCGGUCCUUCGGCGCGGCAUGUGAUUGGCGCGCGGCCCGCUCUCCGGUUGCCGCGGCUUCCUAGUGUCUGUCGCGGCGAUGGCUGCAGGCGGCUGGCGCUGGGCUCGCAAGGCGCUGGCUGCGGGGCGCCCGCUGUUCCAGGGUCGCGCGCUGCUCGUCACCAACACACUGGGCUGCGGCGUGCUCAUGGCCACGGGCGAUGGCGCGCGACAGGCCUGGGAAGUACGCGCGCGGCCUGAGCAGAGAUUCAGCGCGCGGCGCUCAGCCAGCAUGUUCGCGGUGGGCUGCAGCAUGGGCCCCUUCCUACACUUCUGGUACCUGUGGUUGGAUCGCCUCCUCCCCGCCUCGGGCCUACGAAGCCUCCCGAGUGUGAUGAAGAAGGUGCUAGUGGAUCAAACGGUGGCAUCUCCCAUACUAGGCGUCUGGUACUUCCUGGGAGGCAUCGUAUACCCAGGUUGUCUCGAGUUUGCUACCAACUGGCAGUAGCCCAGUUCCCUGCUUCCCAUUUUGAGACAGGCACUCACCAUGUAGUCCCAGCUGGCCUGAACAUCUCUAUGUAAACCAGGCUGGCUCUGCAGCUAAAGAGAUGUGCCUGCCUCUGCCUCCCUGAAUGCUGGGAUUAAGGCCUUGGCAGCCUGGAGGGCCAGACACUGGAGGAGAGCUGCCAGGAGCUGCGGGCCAAAUUCUGGGACUUCUACAAGGCCGACUGGUGCGUGUGGCCAGCUGCCCAGCUGGUGAACUUCCUCUUCAUCCCUUC